rnacentral:rRNA from 1 species
UACAGAGACUGCAAGCGUUAUUCGGAUUCACUGGGCGUAAAGGGUGCGCAGGCGGCCGUGUGUGUGAGGUGUGAAAGCCCGGGGCUUAACCCCGGAAAUGCGCCUCAAACUACACGGCUAGAGCAUUGGAGAGGGUAGCGGAAUUCAUGGUGUAGCAGUGAAAUGCGUAGAUAUCAUGAGGAACACCAGAGGCGAAGGCGGCUACCUGGACAAUUGCUGACGCUCAGGCACGAAAGCGUGGGGAGCAAAAGGG